UACGUAGGGGGCAAGCGUUGUCCGGAAUCAUUGGGCGUAAAGAGCGUGUAGGCGGCCAGGUAGGUCUGGUGUGAAAACUCGAGGCUUAACCUCGAGAUGUCAUCGGAAACCAUCUGGCUAGAGUCCGGAAGAGGAGAGUGGAAUUCCUGGUGUAGCGGUGAAAUGCGCAGAUAUCAGGAGGAACACCGAUGGCGAAGGCAGGUCUCUGGGCCAUAACUGACGCUGAGAAGCGAAAGCAUGGGGAGCGAACAGG
rnacentral:rRNA from 1 species